GUUGAUCAUGGCUCAGGAUGAACGCUAGCUACAGGCUUAACACAUGCAAGUCGAGGGGCAUCAUGGAGUUGCUUGCAAACUCUGAUGGCGACCGGCGCACGGGUGAGUAACGCGUAUCCAACCUUCCCUAUAGUAGAGGAUAGCCCGGCGAAAGUCGGAUUAAUACUCUAUGUUUUCCGUUGCAGACAUCUGAGAUGGAACAAAGGCUUGCCGCUAUAGGAUGGGGAUGCGUCUGAUUAGGUAGUCGGCGGGGUAACGGCCCACCGAGCCAUCGAUCAGUAGGGGUUCUGAGAGGAAGGUCCCCCACAUUGGAACUGAGACACGGUCCAAACUCCUACGGGAGGCAGCAGUGAGGAAUAUUGGUCAAUGGGCGAGAGCCUGAACCAGCCAAGUAAGCGUGCAGGACGACGGCCCUAUGGGUUGUAAACUGCUUUUAUGCGGGGAUAAAGUUCACUACGUGUAGUGUUUUGUAGGUACCGCAUGAAUAAGGACCGGCUAAUUCCGUGCCAGCCGCGGC
rnacentral:rRNA from 1 species